AUAGGAAUUAUCUGAGUCUCUUGUUAAAAGGCAGAUUCUGACUCAGUAAAUUUGCUGUGAGUUUGAGAUUCUACAUUUUUAACAGUCUCCUAGAUAUUGUCAAA
rnacentral:pre_miRNA from 1 species